UUGGUGGUUUCGCUUUCUGGAAGAUUUUUUGGUAUUUCCUAAAGCUAAGCCACCAGAGGG
rnacentral:pre_miRNA from 1 species